rnacentral:rRNA from 1 species
AUUGAACGCUGGCGGCAGGCCUAACACAUGCAUGUCGAACGAGUGGCGGACGGGUGCGUCAUGUAUGGGAAACUGCCUGAUCGAGGGGGAUAACUACUGGAACCGGUCGCUAAUAGCGCAUCCCAUCAGUUGAGCCCCUAUGGGUUUAGCUGUUUGGUGGGGUGACGGCUGACCAAGGCGACGCUCCCUAGCGGGUCUGAGAGGAUGAACAGCCACAAUGGACCUGAGACACGGGCCAGACUCCUACGGGAGGCAGCAGUGGGGAAUAAUGCACAAUGGGCGCAAGCCUGAUGCAGCCAUGCCGCGUGUAUGAAGAAGGCCGUCGGGUUGGAAAGUACUGACAGCGGGGAGGCGUUACCCGCAGAAGAAGCACCGGCUAACUCCGUGCCAGCAGCCGCGGUAAUAC